UACGUAGGGUGCGAGCGUUAAUCGGAAUUACUGGGCGUAAAGCGUGCGCAGGCGGCGCGUUAAGACAGGUGUGAAAGCCCCGAGCUUAACUUGGGAAUUGCGCUUGUGACUGGCGUGCUGGAGUGUGGCAGAGGGAGGUGGAAUUCCACGUGUAGCAGUGAAAUGCGUAGAGAUGCGGAGGAACACCGAUGGGGAAGGCAGCCCCCUGGGCUAGCACUGACGCUCAGGCACGAAAGCGUGGGGAGCAAACAGG
rnacentral:rRNA from 1 species